UUUUGCAAUAAAAAUUAAAUA
rnacentral:piRNA from 1 species